CCUACGGGGGGUAGCAGUGAGGAAUAUUGGUCAAUGGUCGGGAGACUGAACCAGCCAAGCCGCGUGAGGGAGGAAGGUACAGAGUAUCGUAAACCUCUUUUGUCAGGGAACAAAGGCGGGGACGUGUCCCCGGAUGAGUGUACCUGAAGAAAAAGCAUCGGCUAACUCCGUGCCAGCAGCCGCGGUAAUACGGAGGAUGCGAGCGUUAUCCGGAUUUAUUGGGUUUAAAGGGUGCGCAGGCGGUCUGUUAAGUCAGCGGUCAAAGCCCGGGGCUCAACCCCGGCCCGCCGUUGAAACGGUUCGGCUAGAGAGUAGUUGCGGUAGGCGGAAUGUAUGGUGUAGCGGUGAAAUGCUUAGAGAUCAUACAGAACACCGAUUGCGAAGGCAGCUUACCAAGCUACUUCUGACGUUGAGGCACGAAAGCGUGGGGAGCAAACAGGAUUAGAUACCCCUGUAGUC
rnacentral:rRNA from 1 species